CCUUUGUCGGCUCAGGCAUCCAGCUGGUGCACUGACCAGCCUGCGCAGCCCUAAACAUGGCAAGCUGGGCUAGAAAGUGCAGGAGAGGAUGAGGAGCCCCACCACAUCCAACAGGAUUCAGUCGCAGCCAACUGGGACUGUGCACCGGACCACCCAUCGCCAAUCCGCCAUAUCUACCCAAGCAGGAUUUCCCAGCCCUGAUUAUGCCCCACAGACUGGCAAGACCUAGAAACUUCCAUGCAAGUCCUCCUCCCUGGUUUUCUGAUUAAUGGAAACCCAACCCUUGUAUGCCUGUGUCAUGAUGCUGUGUCAGGGGAAAAUAACUUUUGGUGGACCUGCGGACCCAUGCCAGAGGUCACCACAUAGUGAGUAGGAUUGCUGACAGCUAGCUGUCCUUGGUGGAGGAGAGCGAGCCAGUCACAUAGCUUUUUAAGUUCUGGUGUUUGAUGCAGAAAACUUUCAUGCAAUAGCUUUAUGGAAAGUGUCAGCCAACAAUUCUAUAGGUGUGUGCCCAGCUUUACUGUCCAGGUCAGACUAUGCUGCGCAGCCAUCCUCAUUAAAUAGCGACUUUGUUAUAAGUGCACGGUAGAGGACCAGCGGCGGGCCCAUAGAAGUAUACAGCACUUCAAGCAAUUUAGAAGUUAAAAGACACAGUUUAAUUUACAAUAUCCACAACUUAAAAUGCAGGUAACAAACGUACAAGAAAACAGAAACAAUGAGCUUAUCUGUCCAUAGCAAUGGUCCAGGAUACAGGAGUUUACCAAAGUGUUUCAUCACUCUCUUGUUUAGUACGCGCACCGGAUUGUGAUUAUGGCAUUGUGAGGGGAGGUCAUCUACAUAUUGUAAAAGCGUGAUCGGAUACAUAAGUUGAAUCAGACAUUCAAUUCUGGACAGAGGAUCAUUUUGGAACCAAUAGAUAUACCUGCAGAAAAACAAUACAACUCCAUCUGAUUAGUUUAAACACACUCCAUAUGACUCAUCAGUCUAAUGUGUAACAAACAAUCUAACUUGUAUGAAGUGGACUACACAUUGUUUUCAUUUUUUUCUAUGAUUUCAAAUCAACUUUGAGUGAAAAGACAACGAACAAAAACCAGCCCCCACACUACUGUCUGGAUAAGUAUACUUUGUUUAUAUCUGUAAAUCAUUUUGGAGUUUUAGAAUUAGGUAGCUCCACCUUCAGCACUGCACCACACUUUUCUAUUCCUACACUUGUGGAUCUUUUGGGAAAGAUCCUCAAAGUGCCGGUGAGGGGCAGCACCCCUUCCCUGAAACACCCCAUCUUCCCUUUCUUCCCUUAUAUCUCUACUAGUUAAAAGCCCAUCAAAAUGAUGGGCACCAGGGCUGGAUUAUAGGUGGGAAGGUUGCUGCUCACACAGGAGCUGCCGGGUUUCUGGAAGUCCUGCUGCUGGUAGCUGGGGCUCUGUCAUGCUGAGGGUGUAGUGUUGGCCAUAUAUACUUUGUGUAUGUAUAUAUAUAUAUAUAUAUAUAUAUUAAUUCUAAAUGAAUGGAGAAAUGGAGAAAUGGAGAGAAAGCUACAGUACAUUCUAGCCACAAGUGAUGUAAAAUCACUAUAUACGUGCAUAACUCAGGAAAUAGGAUGUGUGCACACCCGGCAUUAGCUUUCUUUCACAGAUAUGCCAAACCAACAGAUUAAUUUUAUUAUGGCAAAUAUUGAUUUUAUUUUAAAACAUAGCUAUUUUUGGCAUGAUAGGAAAUUAUAGCUCCAGAAAUGUGGGACUACCAUGGGCACUUACUUUGCUCCUAGUUUCUCAAACAAGAUAGCAAAAAUACCAACAAGCCGGUUCAAAUAAUAAAACAAAAUUGCAGUGACAAUGCAACGUUUAAAAAUCAGAGUAAUAAAAUGAUAAUAAACUUCAUACAGAAGAGAUAAAAAGAGCAGAACCUCCGAAAAGUAAAUAGAGAAAGUAAGCUGCCUGGAAAGGAAGGGACUUAAUAAAUAGAGCAAAAAACAAAUAAUAAAAACAAGAUAUCCUCUUUAUCACACAGUUUACCAGUAAUGAUGCCCUAAUAGAAACUAUGAUCAGUGAGCACUGGCAUAUCCUGAAGCUCGAUGAAGAGUUGAAACCACUGAUAACAGAAAACCCAAGAAUAAUUUAUAGAUGAGCAGAGAAUCUUAAAUAAGAGCUAGUCUCAAAUUUUUUAAUAUAGGAAUGCCUAACCCAGUCACAAAAAAAUUAAGGUUAACUAAAAGACCAAUACAACGAUUCAAAUCAAACAGAAGUGGAAAAAUGUACUGAUCAAAGAACACAUCAGCUGUGAUACUGAAGAAGUUAUCUACCUAUUGGAAUGUCCCUGUGGACUUCAAUACAUUGGCUAGACCAAAAGGAUGGCUAAAGUAAGAACACAGUUAGAAUAUUAGGAUGAGAUAGUGUAUCGAACCAUUUCAUGGAAGUCCUCAAAAAAGAUCCAUUGGGUUUGAAGAUUAGUUUAUGGCCAUUCAGAAGAUAGACAACUGGAGAAGAGGAGAUAUUGUGACGACUAAAGGAAGAACAAGACCUGAUGGAUCUUUGUGCUC